rnacentral:rRNA from 1 species
UGGGGAAUAUUGGACAAUGGGCGCAAGCCUGAUCCAGCAAUGCCGCGUGUAGGAUGAAGGCCUUCGGGUUGUAAACUGCUUUUGUACGGAGCGAAAAGGUCUGCCCUAAUACGGUGGGCUCAUGACGGUACCGUAAGAAUAAGCACCGGCUAACUACGUGCCAGCAGCCGCGGUAAUACGUAGGGUGCGAGCGUUAAUCGGAAUUACUGGGCGUAAAGCGUGCGCAGGCGGUUAUAUAAGACAGAUGUGAAAUCCCCGGGCUCAACCUGGGACCUGCAUUUGUGACGGUAUAGCUAGAGUACGGUAGAGGAAGAUGGAAUUCCGCGUGUAGCAGUGAAAUGCGUAGAUAUGCGGAGGAACACCAAUGGCGAAGGCAAUCCCCUGGACCUGUACUGACGCUAAUGCACGAAAGCGUGGGGAGCAAACA